rnacentral:rRNA from 1 species
CGUAGGGUCCAAGCGUUAUCCGGAAUCACUGGGCGUAAGGCGUGCGUAGGCGGGAGUUUAAGUGAGAUGUUAAAUCGUGUGGCUCAACCAUAUCGAUGCAUCUCAUACUGGACACCUAGAGGAAGGCAGAGGCAAGUGGAAUUUGUAGUGUAGCAGUGAAAUGCGUAGAUAUUACAAGGAACACCAAUGGCGAAGGCAGCUUGCUGGGUCUUUUCUGACGCUGAGGUACGAAAGCGUGGGGAGCGAACAGGAUUAGAUACCCUGGUAGUCCACGCCGUAAACGAUGCAUACUAGUCUUAUGGGGUAUCGACCCCCUGUGAGACGAAGCUAACGCGAUAAGUAUGCCGCCUGGGAAGUACGGCCGCAAGGCUA